UACGUAGGGGGCAAGCGUUGUCCGGAUUUAUUGGGCGUAAAGCGCUCGCAGGUGGUUCAUUGCGUCGUGCGUGAAAGACCCCGGCUCAACUGGGGAGGGUCGUGCGAAACGGGUGAACUAGAGGCCAGUAGGGGGAUGCGGAAUUCCGGGUGUAGUGGUGGAAUGCGUAGAGAUCCGGAGGAACACCAGCGGCGAAGGCGGCAUCCUGGACUGGUCCUGACACUCAGGAGCGAAAGCGUGGGGAGCGAGUCCGG
rnacentral:rRNA from 1 species